AGAGUUUGAUCCUGGCUCAGGAUGAACGCUGGCGGCGUGCCUAAUACAUGCAAGUCGAGCGAACAGAUAAGGAGCUUGCUCCUUUGACGUUAGCGGCGGACGGGUGAGUAACACGUGGGUAACCUACCUAUAAGACUGGAAUAACUCCGGGAAACCGGGGCUAAUGCCGGAUAACAUGUUGAACCGCAUGGUUCUACAGUGAAAGACGGUCUUGCUGUCACUUAUAGAUGGACCCGCGCCGUAUUAGCUAGUUGGUGGGGUAACGGCCUACCAAGGCGACGAUACGUAGCCGACCUGAGAGGGUGAUCGGCCACACUGGAACUGAGACACGGUCCAGACUCCUACGGGAGGCAGCAGUAGGGGAUCUUCCGCAAUGGGCGAAAGCCUGACGGAGCAACGCCGCGUGAGUGAUGAAGGUCUUCGGAUCGUAAAGCUCUGUUGUUAGGGAAGAACAAAUGUGUAAGUAACUGUGCACAUCUUGACGGUACCUAACCAGAAAGCCACGGCUAACUACGUGCCAGCAGCCGCGGUAAUACGUAGGUGGCAAGCGUUAUCCGGAAUUAUUGGGCGUAAAGCGCGCGUAGGCGGUUUUUUAAGUCUGAUGUGAAAGCCCACGGCUCAACCGUGGAGGGUCAUUGGAAACUGGAAAACUUGAGUGCAGAAGAGGAAAGUGGAAUUCCAUGUGUAGCGGUGAAAUGCGCAGAGAUAUGGAGGAACACCAGUGGCGAAGGCGGCUUUCUGGUCUGCAACUGACGCUGAUGUGCGAAAGCGUGGGGAUCAAACAGGAUUAGAUACCCUAGUAGUCC
rnacentral:rRNA from 1 species